rnacentral:tRNA from 1 species
CGGGGAAUGGCUUAGUGGUAUAGCGCUCGCUUGGGGUGCGAGAGAUCCCGAGUUCGAUUCUCGGUUCCCCGA